CAAAGAAUAAUUUAAGAAAAAUAAUAAUUUUGGAGAUUAUAAAUAGAUAUUAAGAUCUUUCUUUGA
rnacentral:tRNA from 1 species